ensembl:snoRNA SNORA70 Small nucleolar RNA SNORA70
AUGUGAUUGAUAAGAAAGUUCUAAUCCCAGUGUGCAAUGGCUGCAAACAGCAGCUUUCUUGGUGGUGUACAUGGCCUGUUUCUUAUAUGGGUUGUUCUAUGGGUCCUUGGAGACAGGC